UUUCAGGUUACCCUUGGUAUGGCCCAAUUGUCCUCAGAGAAGCAGAAUUAUAUUGAGAAGAACGGUAAGGAGAAGGUUUAUCCUGUCAAAGAGUCGUUGGUUAAAGAGGAGCUAAGCUUUUGCUUAUCAACACAAGGACUUAAACAGAUGACAUCAUUUAAGAAUUCACCGACACCAGAACAAGAUACAUCAGAUAAAAAGGCAUCCAAGAAGUUGAUGUAAG